rnacentral:rRNA from 1 species
UAGCCACGGUAAUACCAGCUCUCCGAGUGGUGGGGACGUUUAUUGGGCUUAAAAGCAUCCGUAGCCGGCUGGGCAAGUCCCCCUGUUAAAUCUAACGAUUCAAUCGUUGGAUUGCGGGGGAAUACUGCUCGGCUAGGGGACGGGAGAGGCCGUCGGUAUUCUUGGGGUAGGGGUGAAAUCCUAUAAUCCCAAGAGGACCACCAGUGGCGAAGGC